AUGGGACUAUUCUUUAAAUGGCUGAUUUAAACUAAUUUAAACUCUAAUCAAUUCUAAUCAUAUUAAAAAUUGAUUAGACUCAAAUAGAUUAAAAUCAAAAUCUGAUUAGGUACCCAAACUAUUUAGAUUAGACGUCACCUUAUUAGAGGAGUCUUAGUCUUUUUGGACUCUCUCUUGGUGCUUGAGUGAAACUCAAUUUAAUCCUAAUCCAAUUAAGAUUUGGUGCACCCAUGAAGAAAAAAAAAUUAGUCUAAAUAGGGACUCA
rnacentral:lncRNA from 1 species